UACAGAGGGGGCAAGCGUUGUUCGGAAUUACUGGGCGUAAAGGGCGCGUAGGCGGCCUGUUAAGUCGAACGUGAAAUCCCUGGGCUCAACCCAGGAACUGCGUCCGAUACUGGCAGGCUUGAAUUCGGGAGAGGGAUGCGGAAUUCCAGGUGUAGCGGUGAAAUGCGUAGAUAUCGAGAGGAACACCUGCGGCGAAGGCGGGUUGCUGGGCUGACACUGACGCUGAUGCGCGAAAGCUAGGGGAGCGAACGGG
rnacentral:rRNA from 1 species